GGGUGUGUAGCUCAGUUGGUAGAGCAGCUGACUCUUAAUCAGCGGGUCCGGGGUUCGAGCCCCCGCUCACCCACCA
rnacentral:tRNA from 1 species